rnacentral:rRNA from 1 species
UACGAAGGGGGCUAGCGUUGCUCGGAAUCACUGGGCGUAAAGGGCGCGUAGGCGGCGUUUUAAGUCGGGGGUGAAAGCCUAGUGGCUACCAACCGACAGAACUGGCCUUCGAUACUGGGACGCUUGAGUAUGGUAGAGGUUGGUGGAACUGCGAGUGUAGAAGGUGAAAUUCGUAGAUAUUCGCAAGAACACCGGUGGCGAAGGCGGCCAACUGGACCAUUACUGACGCUGAGGCGCGAAAGCGUGGGGAGCAAACAGG